UCUGUUAAAAUAUAUGUUGUGGAGAGAUGCUAGUGUCUGGUCAGUGACACGCAUUUCAAACGUGCUCCCCAGGCAGGGGCUUGUCUCACUAGGUCUUCCUCUGCGCCAAAGUCAUGUUGAGAUGUUACUAUUGUUAUGCGUGUCCAUCUUUUAUCUUUGGUGUCUUAUGCCCUUGAGGCUUGUUUAAGAAAUCCUUCCCUACACUUGAGGCUUUCUAAAAACCUAAAUUUUAAUUUUCGAGGCACCUGGGUGGCUCAGUUAGUUAAGCAUCUGACGCUCGAUUUCGGUUCAGGUCAUGAUCUCAGGGUUGUGAGCUCUAGCCCCCGCGUAGGGCCCUGUGCUCAGCGGGCAGUCUGCUUGAGAUUCUCUCCCUCCUUCUGCCCCUCCCUUCUCUCUAAAAAUGAAUAAAUAAAUUCUUAAAAAAUGGCUAAUUUUCCUAUAAGGAUUUUUUAUACAUCUGAAACUCAUUUGUAUGUAUUUGGUGGGGGACCCGGUUUUGUCUGUCUAUAUCUGUAGCCCUCUUUAUUGAACCGUCUCUCCUUUCUGUGCUGUCCUGUAGAGCUGUCCAGACCUCCGCCAGGUUUCCCUGGGCGGGCGGAGCGGCUCGUGGGCUCGCGUUCUGUCCCACAGGUACGUACGUUCUGUCCCAUGGCUCUGUGCACUCUCCUAGGCUGACACCUCGCCAAGGGGGUGAAGCAGAGAAAUUCACCGGGGAAAAGAGAAGACGCACUCCUCCAGAGCGGGUCCAUUGCCGGGAUCCCGGAGGCAGGGGGUGCGUCAGUUGGCUUACGCCGGCUCUCCCGACACCGUUUACAGCUAGAAAACUGCACUGGUGUGGAAUUGCUGUAGGAAUCCACAUGUUGUCCGCUGCAUGCAAGCCUAGCCCUGGGGUUCGACCUGGGGACCGGCUUCCCCCCCCUCCUCCACAUCCCUCCUGUGUGCAUUCGUCCCACUCCCUUUACUUCCUUUCUCUGUCACCUGCUCUUCGGCGUGAAGGCUCCUUCACGCCGCCUAGAGCUCACGACUGCAGUCCCCGUGCUGCGUCCCCUCUGUGAGGACCUCGAGAUGCUCAAACCCCACCGCCCUGGGUGUCCUGCGGACUCCCGACUAAGGCUGGCAGCAAGCAGAUCCUGACUCUGCCAGUGACGGACCUGAGCACAGGGCCAGGUUCAGCCGAAUGUACCAGACAGCGGUGAUUUAAACAAGACUGGUGACUCGUCUCCCACAGACGGCAGCUCGGGGAGCGCACGGGAACGCAUGGUUACUGGGGUGGGGGGGGCAGGCUACUCUCUCCUUGUUUCAGGAUCCUCAGUCUGCGGCCCACAUUCGGCUGCCCGGCUCUCAGCGUCCAUCAGGUUCACUCCCUCCGUCAUGAAAGCAGGAUGACGCAUGCACCUCCUCUUCGGGGACGUCCCAAAUUUGCUCCCAGCGCUCCUGCUUAUAUCCUGCAGGCCCUUGGUCACGUGCCCACGCCUUGCUCCAAGGGAGAUGGGGAAACAGCUUUAUUUCACGCAGCCCCAUGUCCACUGAAAGAGGACAAGGGAGUACACGGUUGGGGUGUAUCUCCUGGUUCACCAGCGUAAUGUCCAAGUUACCCGAGCCAUCAGAAGACGGGGUCGUGAGCGAUGGUGUGAAGCACAGGCUGACGUCUUCAAGGGAGGUGGGAAUGGGCACUGGGGGGUGACCAGGGAUAGCCACGGGGACCGAGGUGGACGGUCAUCCUGGGGGUAAAACGAGGUAGGAGUGAGAGAGAUGGGGGUGAGCCAGGAGUUGGCUCAUCCCUCCUGCCAUCCUGGCAGGGUGGAGUGCCCGCGGGGGCUUGUAGUUGUGCAGGAUGGGGUCCAAACCUGCGGCCCCUGCUUUUCCUGCUUUAGACAGCACAGUCCCCCAGGAGGGCAAGCUGACCGACCACCCAGUGUGGAAACGCGCCUGGGGCCUGUGAUCUGGAAAUGGGGGUUUCACUGGAGUUGAGGAGGGAGGGUUCUGGGUCAUCUGCUGGGAAGGAAGGGCCCUAUAAAUCCCCACCUUCCCCUUGGCUGCUCAGGGAAGGUCACGUGUAGGACAUAGACCUCUGGACAGCUCUGCAUAGCGGCAGGGAGGGACGAUCCGGUCUAGCAAAUGGCUUGGCGGUGGUUUGCGAGGAGGUCCAGGGGGACGGGGGGGACAUGGGGCACCUCUGGGAGGACCCCGAGGCAGCAGCCACGGACUUCCUGGAGAGUGGCGAUGCCAGCAGCGGACUGUCACCCAGGCACAUGCUAAGUGAGUUUGUGUGGUUCAUACCUUUCAUCCUCGUGCUCCGGGAGGCGGGCUCACGGCCUGGGGAGGAAUUAUGGCAGUGACGUGGUGAGGGAGGGCAAGGAGCUGCGCUCCGCGGUGUGACCCCACCUGACCCCGGACUUGGUGCCGUGGACGCACCCUGGUGGUGUGUGCUGGGCACUCCAGAAGCCGGGGACCCGAGUUCCCUCACCCCCACAGUCUGCAGCCCCAUGGUCCUCCCGAGGGAGCACUGCUUACAGCUUGGAAACGUUCUUCUCAGAUUUCCUCCACACUUACUUUGAGUUUUAUUUUUGAGACUGCGGUCAGAUGGCUCAGGUUGUUCCUUGUUUUUUCUGAAUGCUUCUCUGCUGUUCUCCGUCCCUUCAUGUCCACUCCCCACCAGCACUCUAGAAUCUAGCUUUCAGCCUUGCAGCAUUUUAUUUUGGGGCAAUUAUAUAUUUUUAUUUUAAAAGUAGUCUCCUCAACCAACAUGGGCUUGAAUUCACGACCCUGACAUCAAGAGUUGCACGCUCCACCGACGGAGCCGGCCAGGAGCCCCGGCAGUCACGUCCUUCUAACCGGGGUGUCGUUGCUAUGACAUAGGCGAGCUGCUGCGGGGAGGCUCGGUGUUCCCCUGUGCUGUGUGGAGACCGCCACCCCGCGUCCAGCUGGCCUCGUCACUGUGACACACAGCAUUCUGUGUGCGAGGAAAGGCCCUCGGUUUUAAAACUUCCCAAACCGUCCAUCUCCACCUGCUCCUCCCCCACGGCUCACCUGUCACUUUUUAUGUAGGCAAUGUCUUCUCCGAUCUCCCUGGAAAAACGAAGUCGCUUUAAUUCCCCGAAUCCCGUCCGCUUUCUGCAUGGUCAUCGCAUUGGUCCGCCUCGUCCUUUCCUCUCUUACCUCUUCUCAAAUGGCCGAGGUUGAAAUCUGUGGGUGAAGAACGAGUGCAGGUGCUGAGCGUGCCCCCUCCACGUGCCCUGGGGACUGGAGGACGGUGCUGCCGAGGUGUCCCCCCACCAUGGCUUCCCUUCCCAGCCCUGCUCCAGGCGACGAGUGUGGAGUUGUCACGGCCAGCAUGACCCUGAGUCUCUUGGGGGCGGGAUGGACACCUGAAUGAAAUCAGAGCUGUGUUGGUGAGGAAGGAGUGAGAGAGGAGCGGGGAAGGCUCUACUCGGACAACCACCGGCGUCUGCUACGAUGUUUGCUCCUGGAGCAGAGGCCUGGGCUGUCACUCAGCCUGGAAGCUGAUGCCAGAGUCUGAAAGGACCUCAAAAGUCAUCAAAUUCAGUGUCUUCUGAAAUGUGUUUGAAACGCUCUCUUCCUUCAAGAUGACCCGUGAGAAAGGGCUCUGUGGCCAAGCAUGACGGGGCUCUUAAAGUUCAGGGUCGUGUAUUUAAGGCUCAGAGAAGGCACAGGGUCAAGAAACUGUUCAACUUUGAUCGUUCCAGCAUUGAUCAGACUGAUCAACCACAGGACCUUUUCACAUGAUUCCUUUAAACUUCCGGGUUGCUAGUAUCGGCACAACGCCUCCUAACCAUGCAACGUUCCGUCCUAUGACUCUUCCCGUGAGUGAUCAUGCAGAUUCUGUGGGGACCUCCAGCAACGUGGCGCUCUGUCCCCACCGCAGGUAGCAGGUAACAGCGGGGAAGGGUUUGCUGCACGGGGGCGUCAUAAGCACUAAGCGUGCAUUAUCUUAUUUAAUUCUUACAGUAACACUACGCCAGCGUCCUUAUCUCCUUCUGCAUUUGACGAAACUGAGGUUUAGAAGAGCUAAGUAGUCUGCCCGAGGUCACAUGGUAGGAAGCACCAGGAUGCAGACUCAGGUCAGCCGGGCUCUGGAAUCCCCACCCCCCUGUGCUGCGUCCUGCGGGCCCGUGUCACCUCGAUCUGUUGGAAAGUCCUUCCCUGUCUCGAGCUGCUGCCCAGUUCCCGUCCCUCCCCUUCCUCCCUGCUGCACAGUUUCACUUCUGAUAUCCCCCGGUUGCCGUUCUUUUGGCAGCUUUAUCCAUUCUGCUCCUUUUUCUCUUGACUUAGAUACUUUGGCAGCUUUUUUGCACCGAGAUGCUCAAAACCGAACACAAUUCUGUCCACUCCACUAUCAUAAGAUCGUUGCAAUUACAGGAAAUCACACAUUAUCAAAAAAUAGAAGACUUUUCCUUUUCUGGACAAGGUUACGGGAUAGAAAGUUUUCGAUGCGCAAUAACAAAAUUUUCCCACCAAGACUUUUGAUGACAUUUGUUUUUCAAGCUCCAGUGACAUUGCUCUAGAACCUUCAGCCCCACUUGAUCACCGGGCUGCUGCUCGGCCCUGGCUCCCC